rnacentral:rRNA from 1 species
GAUGAACGCUGGCUGUGUGCCUAAUACAUGCAUGUCGAGCGAAGCACUUUUGUGCUUAGCGGCGAAUGGGUGAGUAACACGUACUUAACCUACCCUCAAGAUUGGGACAACACUUGGAAACGAGUGCUAAUACCAAAUACGUAUUUUUAUCGCAUGAUAGAUAUAUAAAAGGAGCUUCGGCUUCACUAGAGGAUGGGAGUGCGCUACAUUAGUUAGUUGGUAGGGUAAUGGCCUACCAAGACUAUGAUGUAUAGCGGGGCCGAGAGGCUGAUCCGCCACACUGGGACUGAGAUACGGCCCAGACUCCUACGGGAGGCAGCAGUAGGGAAUUUUCCACAAUGAACGAAAGUUUGAUGGAGCGACACAGCGUGCAGGACGAAGGUCUUCGGAUUGUAAACUGCUGUUAUAAGAGAAGAAAAACCCUGAUAGGUAAUGACCAGGACUUGACGGUACCUUAUCAGAAAGCGACGGCUAACUAUGUGCCAGCAGCCGCGGUAAUACAUAGGUCGCAAGCGUUAUCCGGAAUUAUUGGGCGUAAAGAGUUCGUAGGUGGUUUUGUAAGUCUGAAGUUAAAUACCGGGGCUCAACCCCGGCCCGCUUUGGAUACUGCAAAACUAGAGUAAUAGAGAGGUUAGUGGAACUCCAAGUGAAGCGGUGGAAUGCGUAGAUAUUUGGAAGAACACCAAUGGCGAAGGCAACUAACUGGAUAUUAACUGACACUGAGGAACGAAAGCGUGGGUAGCAAACAGG